GACGAACGCUGGCGGCGUGCUUAACACAUGCAAGUCGAACGAAGUGGCGAACGGGUGAGUAACGCCUAAUAAACCUGCUCUUCAGAGGGGGACAACAGUUGGAACAGACUGCUAUUACCGCUAACUGAAUGAGGGGAUUGCGUCUGAUUAGCUCGUUGGGGGGGUAACGGCUCACCAAGGCGAUGAUCAGUAGCCGGUCUGAGAGGAUGAACGGCCACAUGUGGACUGGGACACGGCCCAGACUCCUACGGGAGGCAGCAGUGGGGAAUCUUCCGAAAUGGACGAAAGUCUGACGAAGCAACGCCGCGUGAGUGAUGACGGCCUUCGGGUUGUAAAGCUCUGUUAAUCGGGACGCGGUACCGGAAUAGAAAGCCACGGCUAACUACGUGCCAGCAGCCGCGGUAAUAC
rnacentral:rRNA from 1 species